AUACUUACCUGGCAGGGGAGACAUCAUGAUGAGGCAGGUGGUUUUCCCAGGGUGAAGCUCAUCUCUUGUACUCUGGGUGUGCUGACCCCUGCGAUUUCACCAAAUCCGGGAAGCUUGACUGCAUAACUUGUGGUAGUGGGGGACUGCGUUCGUGUCCUGUU
rnacentral:snRNA from 1 species